rnacentral:rRNA from 1 species
AUUGAACGCUGGCGGCAUGCCUUACACAUGCAAGUCGAACGGCAGCGCGGGGCAACCUGGCGGCGAGUGGCGAACGGGUGAGUAACAUAUCGGAACAUACCCUAGAGUGGGGAUAACGUAGCGAAAGUUACGCUAAUACCGCAUACGCACUAAGGUGGAAAGUGGGGGAUCUUCGGACCUCAUGCUCAUGGAGUGGCCGAUAUCUGAUUAGCUAGUUGGUGAGGUAAAGGCUCACCAAGGCGACGAUCAGUAGCUGGUUUGAGAGAACGACCAGCCACACUGGAACUGAGACACGGUCCAGACUCCUACGGAGGCAGCAGUGGGGAAUUUUGGACAAAUGGGGGCAACCCUGAUCCAGCAAUGCCGCGUGAGUGAAGAAGGCC